AAUAGAAAGAAAGUUAAUAAUAAGAAAGAAAAAGAAAUGAACAAAUUAAUUAUUUUAGCCUUGGCAAUUUCACUUAUAGUGGGAGCUUUUUUAGUUAUUAAAAGCGAUUUACUCUUCCACAUUGAUGAUAAAGGAAUGUCUAAUGGUGUAAAGAUUUUAAAAUUCAUCGGUGAAAUCUUAGUUCUAGUGAUAGAUUUUCUUCGGUAAUUACAACAAAAUCUCGAUUUCUGCGUCAUCGCUGAUGACAAACUUGUUUCGACCCAAAAAGCAGCCAAGACUAUCCUAGCAUUUCUAGCCGGAGAACCUGGUGAGAACCCACGCAUGCACGAGGAGGACAUGGAAACUCCAUGCUG